rnacentral:lncRNA from 1 species
GUCCUGGAUGGGCUGGAGGAGCACCUGCAGAAUUCCCAAUAUUUCCGAUUCCUCUGGUUCCCCCACACCGAGAACGUUCGCGUCAUCUACCAGGACCCCACGGAGCAGCCUCCCAGCUCCUCCUCCAGCUGGUUUUGGGAUUACGCCGUGGGAUAUCAUCUCCUGGAAUUCCUGCUCUGGAUCAGCUCCUUUUUCCCGGGAUUGGUGGUUUGGAUCAACCGCGUCUUCUUCCGGCUCCUCUUCAGCUCCCGCUCUGAGAGCGUCGACCGCAGCCACCGCCUGCUCAACUACGAGUGCCGCUUCCGCCAGCACGUCCAGGACUGGGCCAUCCCCAUGUACGUCAUUCCCUAAUCCACGGGGGAAUUCCCAAAUCCCAGCCCAGCACUGGGCCAUCCCCAUGGAAUGCCCUAAUCCCCGGGGGAAUGGCCUUGGGAAUUCCCAAAUCCCAGCCCAGUACUGGGCCAUCCCCAUGGAAUUCCCAAAUCCCUGCUCCAUUCCCAUGGGAAUUCCCAAAUCCCAGCCCAGGACUGGGCCAGCCCCAUGGAAUUCCCAAAUCCCCGUGGGAAUUCCCAGAUCCCAGCCCAGCACUGGGCCAGCCCCAUGGAAUUCCCAAAUCCCAGGGGAAUUCCCAAAUCCCAUAUCAUUCCCAAGGAAAUUCCCAGAUCCCGCUCCUUCCCAUGGGAAUUCCCAGAUCCCAAUCCAGGACUGGGCCAUUCCCAUUUAAUUCCCAAAUCCCUGCAGAAUUCCCGUGGGAAUUCCCAGAUCCCAGUCCAGGACUGGGCCAUCCCCAUGUAAUUCCCAAAUCCCCGCUGAAUUCCCGAGGGAAUUCCCAAGUCCCGCUCCAUCCCCAUGGAAUUCCCAAAUCCCCGUUGAAUUCCUGGAGGAAUUCCCAAAUCCCCAUCCUUUUCUAUGGGAAUUCCCAAAUCCCAGCCCAGGACUGGGCCAUCGCCAUGGAAUUCCCUGAUCCCAGUCCUUUCCCGUGGGAAUUGCCAGAUCCCAGUCCAGGACUGGGUCAUUCCCACUCUGUCCCCAUGGGAAUUCCCAAAUCCCAGAUCAGAACAGGGUCAUUCCCAUGGAAUUCCUAAAUCCCGGCCUAGGACUGGGCCAUCCCCAUGGAAUUCCCAAAUUCCCCCCUGGAUUCCCAUGGGAAUUCCCAAAUCCCGCUCCAUCUCCAUGGAAAUUUCCAGAUCCCAGUCCAGGGCUGGGUCCUGCCCAUGGAAUUCCCAAAGUCCCGCUCCCUUUCCGUGGAACUCCUCCCAUUCCUGAUCCCAACCCCAGGAACCCAACCCCUCCCAUCCCAAACCCCACAUGAUCCCACGGGAAGAACAUUCCAGAACAUUCCGGGAUUUCCAUGGGAUGGAGAUCCUGCAGAUCCCAAAUCCCAAACCCCUCCCAUCCCAAACCCCACAUGAUCCCACAGGAGGAACAUUCCAGAACAUUCCCAGAUUUCCAUAGGGUGGAGAUCCUGCAGAUCCCAAAUCCCAAACCCCUCCCAUCCCAAACCCCACCCAAUCCCAUGGGAAGAACAUUCCAGAACAUUCCGGGAAUUCCAGAGGAUGGAGAUCCCUGCAGAUCCCAACCCCAGGAUCCCAAACCCAUGGGAAGAGGAGACACCAUUCCCACUGGGAAUCUGGGCACAGGGAUCCCUCCAGAUCCCAACCCUGGGUCCCAAACCCGGUGUGAUCCCAUGGGAGGAACAUUCCAGAACAUUCCCGGAUUUCCAU